UGGAACUGAAAGCACACAUGCAACAUGUCA
rnacentral:piRNA from 1 species